UACGUAGGGUGCAAGCGUUGUCCGGAAUUAUUGGGCGUAAAGAGCUCGUAGGCGGUCUGUCGCGUCUGGUGUGAAAACUCAAGGCUUAACCUUGGGCCUGCAUCGGGUACGGGCAGACUAGAGUGCGGUAGGGGGAGACUGGAAUUCCUGGUGUAGCGGUGAAAUGCGCAGAUAUCAGGAAGAACACCCGUGGCGAAGGCGGCUCUCUGGGGACGGUACUGACGCUGAGACGCGAAAGCGUGGGGAGCGAACAGG
rnacentral:rRNA from 1 species